rnacentral:rRNA from 1 species
AUUGAACGCUGGCGGCGUGCUUAACACAUGCAAGUCGUGCGGUAACAGGCGUAGCAAUACGUGCUGACGAGCGGCGAACGGGUGCGUAAUACAUGGGAAUCUGCCCUUUAGUGGGGAAUAACCCGGCGAAAGCCGGGCUAAUGCCGCAUAAGAUCUUCGGAUGAAAGCGGGGGAUCGUAAGACCUCGCGCUGAUGGAUGAGCCCAUGUCGGAUUAGCUAGUGGUGAGGUAAAGGCUCACCAAGGCGACGAUCCGUAGCUGGUCUGAGAGGACGGCCAGCCACACUGGGACUGAGACACGGCCCAGACUCCUACGGGAGGCAGCAGUGGGGAAUAUUGGACAAUGGGGAAACCCUGAUCCAGCGACGCCGCGUGUGUGAAGAAGGCCUGCGGGUUGUAAAGCACUUUCGGUGGGAAC